rnacentral:lncRNA from 1 species
CCAACUGAGUGCCAAGACCCUGGCUUAGAGACGUUGAGGAUACACACCCUAGCAGGGACAUGGAGCUACAGGAGGCAGAGUGUGUGCAGGAACUCAAAGCCCAUGGAACAGCAGGAUGCAGCUUUUCUUGGCUCCGUUACUGAGAGAUCCUGUCUGAUGUUUCCUCUCUGACAGGCCGUGACUGGGGACAUUUGGAUGGCCAGCAGAGCUGGAUUUAGAGGCAGAAGAGCUGGGCAGCUGUCCCAGUUACUCAUCUAUGAGGGGAGCUGAAAGAUCAUGAGAAUAAAUCAGAAAGAUGGUGCCAGUUAACCCCGCUUUCCACACAAGACUCUUGAUAUAAUUGGUGAAGUGGAAACUCCAGCCAAAGUACACUCCAUCCUCAAGCAAAACAUAAAACACACUCCUGAUGGAUACAGAAAGUUCUGGUGGCCUUAGAGCCUGAUUUGGUGCCAACCUGCCUGCGUUCAAAUCCAGGUUCCACUACUCACUGGAUGUGUGACCUUAGACAACUUCUUUCACCUCCUAGUGCUCUGUUCCCUUGGCUAUAAAAUAAAAAUUAUAAGAGUGCCAGUUUUGAACACUAAAUGGGCAUAAAGGAAACACUUAGACCCCAGACGGGCAUGUAGCAGGAACUUUAUAAUGGUUAGCUACUCAUUACCAUCUUUGUGAUGAGCUCAAGCAAGUUGCCUAAUGCCACUGGAGGCUGCACCCCUACCUGAGACAGCCACCUGAACAUUUCCUUAACGUGCAGCCUCUGAGAGCUGAAACUCUGAAAGGAAGUCCUGCAUAAUGAGCAUUUAUUAUGUUCAAGUAAUUAAUUUUCUCUCUUAAAAAUGUAACCCCCUUAGUACACCUCAAAAGAAAUCAUCUGACUUAGAAAAUACAAAAGACAUCUGAACAACAUCAAACAUUACAGAAAAGUUUUGCCCACGUGAAAGUCCCACUCCACCCCACCGCACCCCAAGAAAAGCAAAGCAAACAUAAAACCAACUUUUGAACAUUUUGAACAAGUGUUUGUAACCAUAUCGAUAUAUGCAUUACCUCUGUCCUGAGUGGGCAAAUCGGGAAGAACUGCAAAUGAUGUGUGAAGAACUGUACCCUGCGUGCCAGGCAGAUAUUCAUUCAUGAACAGAUAUUUACAUGACAGAAAGUGUCCUAGGCCUGGUGGAUGUGAAGAAAACAGACAGAGUCCCUGCUCUCAGGAAGCUGUGCCAGCAGGAGAGACAGAGAGGCUUUCCUGAGGAAAGAGCAAUUAACCUCAAGUCUGUCUUCAAAAGGUUAGAGUCUUUUUUCUCCUGAGAAACAGAAAAGAGACGUUGGAAGCUGACAUGCCUCUUUGUUUAUUCUUCGUGCAACUCCUACCAAGAUCCUGGAAAAGCAGUGAUUCCUUCACAGUCACCCCUUUAGGGUGGUCCCUAAAACCAGAUGCAGAACAUUUUAGAAAACUCCAAGUCAGUGCUCAUUCCUUGGGGCAACCUGCUCUGGGCCUUGUUGAAGGAGAGGUCUGGUUUGUGACAUUAACAAGUACAUGCUGACAACAAAUACAACCACUUCCUCACCUGCUACCAUGAGGAAACCAACAUACCAGGGUUGCUGGCUUGGAGGGAAACUUACAAACACCCACGAGAGAUGGUGGCUUUUGGCCCCUCACAGCCUCCGUAGUCUCCUGGAUUUCCCUGGCAGAAGGCCCUCAAACUAUGCACAAAUGAGGGGCAUUGUGCAUCCGUCCUAUUUUUAAAAACUCUCCAGGAAAUACACUUGCUGCCUACACUUCCUCACCACCCACUCGCUCUUCGGGGCUUCUAAUCCGGCUUCCGCCCCACCUCGUUCCUGAUGGAGCCCCAGGAAGGACUCCAAGGACCUCCUCCUCAGCCACAAAUCCUGCAGCCUUGCCCCAGUCCCUCAUCCUCAGCCGGUUCAGCAUUCCACAGGAAAUCUCCCCUCUCUGGGUUUCCGUGGCAGGAAACUCCCGUUGUUUUCUCUUUUUAAUGUGUGUGCCUACCCAGGGAUCUGAGCUUAGCACCCCUCCCUCUGUGCUGCCUCCUUCAUUAUCUCACCUACCCUGGGCCUCACCUGACACCUCCAUGCAGAUGGUCCUCACUUCCAGCCUCUCUUGUCAGCACCAACUCUGAGCUCCAACCCCUGUCGGGCAUCAGGUCUCGGGUGCCUCUUCUGAAUGUCUAAAUAUCCCAAACGGAAUGGGUCAUUUUCUGCUCCAGUUCUGUCCUCCCUUUAUAACCUCCUCUCCCAAGAGCCCGCCACCCUCCAGUGUUCACUCUCCAAAUCUUAGCGUCAUCUCUGGCUUACCCAAUGGCCUUACCCCCAAGAUCCAACCAAUUGCAAGUUCUCUCUUUACCACAUCUCUCCGAUAUCACCAUCUUUGUAUUCCCAUCAAGUGCUUAUAUUCUACUCUUUUUCAGACCAUUGCAGUAACCUCCUAACGGAUCCAUCUCUACUCUGUCCUCCUCCCACACCCCUUUCCCCACAAUCUAUAUUCUGUGCUUCUUUGAGGACACUCUUCAAGUUCCAUCAGGAAGGCACUAUUUUGUCUCCCUGCCCUAAAACCUGCAAUGGUUCCCACUGCUGAUAAUAAGUCCUAAGCCUGGCUUUACACCCAUCAUAAUUCAAGGCUCUCCCAGUCCACUUUCCAUCACCUUCCCUCUAGGUACACAUUUCUGCAGUUUACCUCAAAUUCCCACUCAUCUUGAAACACUCUGUCUUCCCAUCUCCAGGCUUUUACUCAAGCUGGACCUUUCUCAGGUAAUGCCUUUCUUUUUAUUUACGUCUACCAAAAUCUUACCUUUCCCUUUAGGGUCAUCUCAAAUGCCACUUCUUCCAGGAUGCCUCCCAGAGUUUCCCCAGCCAGGAGUGCUUUCCAUUCCGUGCUCCCUGGCUUCACUCAGUUUAUCCCUGCACACUCAUCACACUGAAUCUCAUGUUGCAGUAUUUGAGUAUGUGCCUCAUUGCCCUGCCUCUGGGUCAGGGAUGUUGUCCUACUAAAGGAGUCAUUUGCUCACGGUUGAUACUUGCUGAAUUAAGUCAUCAGGUUAGAUAACCAUACACUUGUUUACCUUUCACUGUUUGAAAAAAUACACAUCCAAAAUAUAUAAUCACAGGGACUAAAUCAAAGUAAAGAAUAUGGAAAUAUGUUCUGUUCACAUCCAUGGGUGAAGAUCAGAAUGUAGAUCAAAACCCAGUUCUUGAGUGACUUGGACCGUUGCUGGAUAGAUUUUAACUAAUCUUAUGGAAAAUAUUCAAGGGACUUAAUGAGCCUAGCUAGGAAAGGAGGAGGGCAAGCGAGAGGGAGCCAGAGCGGCUGCUGUCAAGAAACACUUUCUUCCUGUAACCGUAUCCCCCGGGACCGGGCCAGUACCUUUGCUUAAUCUCCCUCUCUGUGGUCACUCAGGAUAUGAUUACUGGCAUCAGAUGCAAGCACAUGUUUCUGUUCCAUUAAUCUGAGUGAGGCUGAGAAAAUGAAAAGGGAGUCACAAGGGCAUUGCUGUGUUGGUCUGUUACCACCUCAAAGAGGAGCAAGAGAGAAGGGGGAGGAAGGAUCUGGCACAUGGGCCAGGAGGGGGGCCGUAAGGGAGCAAAGGGAGAUGAGAAAACCAUACAAAGAAGAAGUUCCUGUAGCAUGGAGGCUGAUUCCUUUCAGCUGUUACAAGAUGGGGCAUGGAGGAGGGAUGUACACACACACAUAGACACACACAGACGCACACAGGGGCCCCCACAAAGCAACCUAUAGACUCAGAGCAUCUCCACCAUAGGGCUUUUGCAAUCAGCCUGAUAACCCUUGUGAGUGUUGUUGCUCAGGGUGUACAGAAACCCACAUAACAUAAAUCUGUCUUACACACAGUAACAGCCUUAAUGGGAGGCUGCGGCACAGUAAUGAAGAUGUGAACAGCUAAAACACAAUGUCAGAUGGCAGUGGUGACAUCUGAAAGCCAUAAUUUGCGGCUCGGCAUAUUUUUGUUCCAGGUACCAGAGCCUGCACAAAUACUCGCUGACUUGUCUCUCUCAAGCAGCAUCUCUGCUGGGCUUGGCCAGGGGCCAGGUGGUCUUUGCCUUGCCAACAGGUUUCUGCUAUAGAGAGCCCAGGAAGUCUUUCCUCUCUAUCAUCCGAUGGAGCCGAAAUGGAGCAACAGAAUAGGUAUAAACACAUAUCUUGUUCCUGAAGUUCGGGCCACUUAAAUAACCCAUUUCCCUUUUGUCCAAUCAAAGUGUCCUGGCUGAAUAUCUUGAGGGGUGGCCAAAUGAAUCAAAAUAAUUUUAGCUAAGCCAGAGCUUGGGGGCUUCUGGAAAGGAAAGGUGAGACAUUAUGGAGCACAGAGGCACCAGAUUCUGUUUUUCAGCUGUGACUCUCCCUUCUUUUCAAUCCCUCCUUCUCAUUGCUACCUUCCCAGAACCUCAGCACUGCAGACAAGCAAUUUCUUCAAGUACAGACCUUCAAAUUAAAGGUUACAUUUCCAGUUCUAGCUAGCUACCUGGCAGUUAAAUGGCAUCAAUGCAUGAGUUAAGGUUUAUAAAUGCAAGGGAAGAGGGGCUCCACUGAGGAAGCAGUGUUAUGUUUAGCCCCAAGGAACUGAGGAAUUCAAAGUCUAGGCAGAGUGGCCUUUUCCAGCGCCUUAAUCCUCCCUGCUGGGUCUCCACUCAGCAGCCCGUAUACAUCUGUUGACCUGCUGCUCUGGACUGCCUUCCUGCCAGGCUCUGUGCAGUGGGCGGAGAGGAUAAAGUGACUGUUAACAGCAGGAGUCUUAACUCCUGGCCUGGGUCCCUAAAAGCACAGGCUGCAAAACAGUUUAAGCUGCCACCAAGACACCCCGCCCCCACUGUGGUGGCUCCGGACCCUUUCACUUGCACAGAGGUUUGCUUCAAGGAACUUUGAGGGUCAACUGGAGCUUCACUCUGAAGUUGGGGGGCUGGCGAGGGCUGCAGCACCUACCACAAGCGCCUUAACGUGCGCAUGGGGAGGCUGCUAUGAAUCCCCCCUUACAAAGGCUCAGCCGCAUGACAUCAGGAGAAUCUCUGGGAACAGGUGUGGCGGGAGCUCAGCACCCACAGGGCAUCAGUCUGAAGGCAGCCUGCAGGCAGGAGUGAGAGAAACAGGGUCACACAGCAGAAACUGGCCCCACCCCUGAGAAGCUGUCCAGCACCUGCUUUGCAGAGAUGGGUCUGACCUGAGUUCUUGGGAUCCCAAACAUUUUCCCACCCAGAAGACAGCACACGGUCUUAUGAGCAGUGAACAUCAGGUCACUUGGGGAACUGGGGGACUAAUUUAUUUUCAGUUUUUACUAUAAACAUUUUAGAUUUUUGCUCAGAUUGACAUUUUAUUGGGAUAUGAUUUAUAUACAGUGAAAUUCACCGUUUCUCUCAGUUUAAACAAAUAUAGAUGUUCAUGUAACUCUCCCUACAAUCAAGAUGUAAAACAUUUCCAUCUUUCCAAAAAGUUCCCUCGUGCCUCUUCAUCAUCAAGUUUGACCCCCUCAGCCCCAUUCCCUGGCAGCCACUGAUCUGAUUUCUGUCUCUAUAAUUUUGCCUUUUCUAGAAUGUUAUAUAAAUAGAAUAAUACAGUAUGUAGCCUUUCAAAUAUGGCUUCUUUCACUUAGCAUGAUUCAUUGUGGAUAUAU